UACUUUAUGCUGGGCCCUGGGGAUACAAAGACAGGAAAAAAGGAGGCCUCCUUUCUCAAGGAAUUCAGUCUAUUGGGGAGAACUGCUAAGGGAACAGAAAUUUAGACGUCCUAGGGACCGAGUGUUCCACUCCACAGGGGAGGAGCGGAGGGCUCAGAGGCGCUAAGGGACCGAACUACAGUUGAGUGACAGGGCCCCAAUUGCACCCCAAAUCUGCUACCUUGGGCUCCAAGGAUGUGCUCCCUCACACACACGCAUUAUUAUACCGUCAUCACUGUCAUCCUCCCUCCGUUCUAUUUUUUUUAAGAUCCUAUAUGAAUUCAAUUUCUAGCCUUGGGUCCAAAAAAUCAUCCCCUUUGGUAAACAGUUGUAGGUCAGGAAAGCAAAGUGUGGGAGCCUCUGAUACAAAUCUCUGAAGGCCAAGGGCACUGCCACCAUAUGAGGAGAGAUAAGGGCUGCUAAUGAAGCCAGAUGCCUGGGUCCUCACAGCGUGCCUGGCACCUGGGGUACCUUCCUGUGGAAUGCCACAUUGAAGCUUCCGGUGAAGUCUUCGUGGCUGAUUGAUUGGGUGGCUGACUGGGUGGUUGUUUAUAAUACCUUGUUUUAUUCCAGAAAGGAUUCGAGAUGGACUGAGACAAUGCAUUCUCUCCCACGGGGGGCGGGGAAAGGACUCAGCUGCAUUUACCCGCUCGUCAUUCAUUGCUCUGUUCAUUGAACAGUCUCAUCCCCGGGUGUUGUCUACAGGUGGAGGGCCAGUGCUCACAGGCUGACUCUGGUCCACGGCUUCUUAAGCACCCCAGGCCCUUUGACUGGAAGGUCCAGGGAGGUGGAAUUCAUCUUGGCCAGGUUCCUUAGCCCAGCCCCACCCUGCAGAGGCUGGGUGCUUGGAUUCUCUGUGCUGGUGACUGGGGCAAGGGAGCACAGAGGAGGCGGGCACUCGGCAGAGCCAGAGCAGCAUCCUUCCUCUUCGCAGGGCUAAAUAUCUCCAAGAGGAGGUCCUGCAGGGAUCACAGUCUGGGUCAGAGCCCACCAGUCUGCUGGCCAAAGUCGGGACAACUCUAUCCUGUCACCAGCUGGCUUCCCUGGGCUCUGGGCCACUGGCCUCCAGCCAUGGGCCAGGCACCCAGCCAUGCCAGGGAGCCAAGCAGUGCUGGCAUGGAGCAGCCCUGUAACAUUCUUAUAGGCCUCGGAAGGCUGAGAUGGAACCAGGACACACUAUAGAAAUUAUGUCUCCAUCCUUAGGCCCUGCCUCUUGAGCUCCAUCUCAGCUCUCCUUCCACUCUGCUAGCUUUGCUAACAUCUCUUCAGCCUUCAAAACCCCAACUACUACCUCAUCUGGGAAGCCUUCUUGACUACCCCACCUCCAUCACGACCACUUUGGAGUUCACCUGCCCUCCUCCGGGCCUCCUGGGCCUCACACAGGCCUCAGUCAGCCCCCAUCACCCGCUGUAGGGCAAGUAACCUGUCUACACAGCUGCUCCUCCUCGGCACUCUGAGCACCUUCAAGACCUGAAUUUGAGCCCCGUCCUAGGGGGCCCACCUCAUCCUGGCUUUCCCAGGACUUCCCCAGUUCCAGCAAGUCCUACGUGUGGGAAACCCCUCAGCCCUGGCCAACCAGGGUGGCUGGUGGCCCUACUCUAUGCCUCCUCUCCGGGAGCUGGGGUUACAGUCCUCAGAUAAGGUCUAACGAUCCAGAGAGUUCCAGAAUGGAUUCAUGUGACUUGGCCUUUUUGGAACUGGACCACCUUGGAGAUCAUCUGGGAGAGGGCACUGAGACCUGCAGAAAUGGAAUGGCCUACCCAGGACACAUCUAGAAGAUUAAGAGACACUGGGGUAACAUAGGGAUGCUGGACUGGGAGUCCUAGACCUCCUGGUCCUGGCUCUACCAUGACGCAUGCUGCCCUGCUGAGCCCACGCCUUUGCCCCUGGGACGCAGAACAUGCCAGGCAGGCAUCUCCCACCUGCCUCUCCAUGCGGGCAGGGAGACUAGCCCUCACUGAGUCCCGAGCUCUGGGACACAAGCUUUACCUCCCUCGUUUUAUUUGAUCCUCCCAACAAGCCUGUGUCAUCUUACAGGUGAGAAAACCGAGGCCUGGAGAAGUCCAAGAAUUCUCCUAAACUCAUCUAGCUAAUGGUAGUGCUGGGUUUCAAACCAGCUUCCUCUGACUCCCAAGCCCAAGCCCUCUCCAUUCCACCAACAGGCCCCUGAUCUCUGCGGCCCAGGUUCCUCCACAUCUAGCUCUCCUGGGACCUCAAGGUAGCAGACGUCAGUGCGCGUUGCUGCUGAGUCCGGUGCUCACCAUUAGGCAGACAAGGAGACCCGAGUGGUGCAGGCCUGAGGCCCUCCACACUAAGGAAGGCGGGCGUAAGCAGAGUGGGGAAGAGGCCACUGUCGACAGCUCUCCUCUGGGGCACCGAAUCUCAGGGGCACAACAAAAGAGAGGGAGCUGUUUAAUAAUUACAGCUGUCUUGUUCAGAGUGACAGGGAGAGAAAUAUUGCUGGGGAGGAAAGCAUAAAAGAAAGAGGCAAAGGAGGACUGGAGUAGCCUUCAGGGAGGGUUGCAUGGAGCCAAGGAGGGCGCGAAGGUCCAUGGUGAGCCCUGGCGUCCAGCAGGUGAGCCUCCUGCUGCCUGCUGCUUUCCUCCAUCCCGCACCCCUCAACAGCUGCCCCGGAUGCUGCAUGUCUGCAGGCCACAGGCCUGCUCCCAAGGAUGCCCGCGUCCACGCAGGAGGAGCAGGGACCCGCCCUCCUCUCUCGGAUCUCUGUUCUUUUUAUAACCAAGCUUGCAAGCAGCAAGGGAUAAGCUGAGCCAUUAGAAGGGUCUCACCCCAGCUCCUGUCUUGGUCCCUGCAGCUGGUCAGAGGCUUCUGCAGCCACUGGAACAUUGCUGUCUGGACCCUGCCCCCACCCCCAGCAGCCUGGGCGGUCCACUGCUUUACCUCAUCCCGUUUCCAUGAAUACCGGGUGCUCAGCAAGGACAGGGGAGCCCACUGAUGGAACCCUGAGGGUCUCCUCUCUAGUUGUGAGCCAGCUUCGAAGGUGACAGAUGAGCUAAUUAACCCCAGGAGCCACCAGGCCCGCCCCUCCCUGUCUUGUUCAUCCCAGCUCCUCCCAACCCAUCUUUCUGGCCCAGACCCCGUAUCUUCGUUGCAGCCUCAAAUAGCUGUGUUUCCGAAAUGUAAAGUGCGGUUUCUCUUCUAAUUACAAAAAUAACAGCUGACAAACACGUGCCAGAGCUCCCCUCUUUUUCUCCUGAGCUAACAGCCCCAUUAGGACAGAUCCUGUUAUCGUCUAUGCCCUCUCCAUAUAUUUUAUGGAACAGCCUCAAAAGUGCUCUGCGUCGGGCUCUCCCUCCCUCUCUUUCUUUUUCAAGGCAAUGGCUUUGUGAAAGCUGAGGGGAAAAAUAAAGCCUUUUACUAAAAUGUCACUCUGGGAAAAGGGGGGAAAUUUCCUAAUAGGCCAUGGAAGGCUUGCUUUUUUUUUUUAAGUGUGAUAAAUUUGGCCUGUCUUAAAAAGACAGCUCACUGUUGCUUAUCAACUGUGAUUUGACCAGAUAGCCGUUUCAAAAAAUAGACACUGGUCUUUUUAUAAUAAAUGAAAGCAAUAAAACCAAGAGCUGGGCCAGAACUAUAAUUAAGAAUCAGAAGCUGAAAAGGGUGGGUGUGUCACUGCAGGGCAGAGUCCAGUCAUGGGCAGGAGGAGUGGGCCAGGCUGGCCGGGAGGCCUGGGGACAACCCCCAUCCCAAGGGGAGGUGCCUCUGUUGUCCCCACUCUCCCCUUCUUUUUCCUUCUCAUUUUGGGAGAGUUCCUUCCCUGGGCAGAUGGACAGAUGGGCCCGGGGGUGGGGAGGAUGGCCGAGGAGGGGCUCAUCGCCCACCCCCUACGCCAAAUCCAGCGCCUAUUUGAAACGCAGCCAGAAAUCCCCCUCCCUGCUCUGUCUGUGCACAAUAAACGUCCCAGACUCGCUACUCCUAAAGAGCUGUCUGUUGAACACAAUCUCCAUCUCAAGCGGCUGUUUUGCAUUUCCUUUUGGCUUUAUUAAAACUGAUUUUCUAUUUGCACUAUAAAAACUGAUCUGAUUAAAUUUCCAUUCUUCCCCAAAGAAAAGACUCUUCUCUGUCUCUCUCUCACCCUCUCUCUCCCUCUCUCCCAUCUCUGUCUCUCCAUCUCUCCCCUGUCUCCCUCCCUCUCCGAUCUCCCUCUCUCUCCUCUCUUUCUCUCUCUCUCCCUCUCUCUCUUUCUCUCCUCUCUCUCUUCCUCUAUCUCUCCUCCCUCUCUCUCUGUCUCCUUCUCUCCCCUCCAUCUCUCCUUCACCUUCCUAUCUUUUCUCCCGCCCGCUCUACCUCUUCCUCCUUUUUUUCUUUCCCUAAACAACUAAUUCUUGAUCAUUCUCCCUCCUCAUCUCUCUCUUAUCCCCGCACAGGGUCCCCAUCAC
ensembl:lncRNA